rnacentral:rRNA from 1 species
UACAGAGGUGGCAAGCGUUGUUCGGAAUUACUGGGCGUAAAGCGCACGUAGGCGGACAUUUAAGUCAGGGGUGAAAUCCCGGGGCUCAACCCCGGAACUGCCUUUGAUACUGGGUGUCUCGAGUCCGGAAGAGGUGAGUGGAAUUCCGAGUGUAGAGGUGAAAUUCGUAGAUAUUCGGAGGAACACCAGUGGCGAAGGCGGCUCACUGGUCCGGUACUGACGCUGAGGUGCGAAAGCGUGGGGAGCAAACAGG